rnacentral:rRNA from 1 species
AUUGAACGCUGGCGGCAGGCCUAACACAUGCAAGUCGAACGGCAGCACAGAAGAGCUUGCUCUUUGGGUGGCGAGUGGCGGACGGGUGGGUAAUGUCUGGGAAACUGCCCGAUGGAGGGGGAUAACUACUGGAAACGGUAGCUAAUACCGCAUAACGUCGCAAGACCAAAGUGGGGGACCUUCGGGCCUCACACCAUCGGAUGUGCCCAGAUGGGAUUAGCUAGUAGGUGGGGUAAUGGCUCACCUAGGCGACGAUCCCUAGCCGGUCUGAGGGGGUGACCAGCGACACUGGGACUGAGACACGGUCCAGACUCCUGCGGGAGGCAGCAGUGGGGAAUAUUGCACAAUGGGGGCAAGCCUGAUGCAGCCGUGCCGCGUGUAUGAAGAAGGCCUUCGGGUUGUAAAGUACUUUCAGCGGGGAGGAAGGCGGUGAGGUUAAUAACCUUGCCGAUUGACGUUACCCGCAGAAGAAGCACCGGCUAACUCCGUGCCAGCAGCCGCCGUAACAC